rnacentral:other from 1 species
AGGUGACUGUCCGGUUCGUAAUUCCGCAGAUCUUCCGAGCCAACGUAAUUUUAUCGGGAAUUGUCCCUGGCAGGAUCGUGGUCCUGUUAUAUGAUGCCCACCUAUUGAGAUGCGGUUCGAGACAGAAUGUACCUAUACGGCCCGACGGUUCUCUC